rnacentral:rRNA from 1 species
UACGGAGGGUGCGAGCGUUGUCCGGAAUCACUGGGCGUAAAGGGCGCGUAGGCGGCCUGAUAAGUAGGGGGUGAAAUCCUGCGGCUUAACCGCAGGGCUGCCUUCUAAACUGUCAGGCUAGAGCACAGUAGAGGCAGGUGGAAUUCCCGGUGUAGCGGUGGAAUGCGUAGAGAUCGGGAAGAACAUCAGUGGCGAAGGCGGCUCACUGGCCCGAUACUGACGCUGAGGCACGAAAGCGUGGGGAGCAAACAGG